AGGAUGAACGCUGGCGGCGUGCUUAACACAUGCAAGUCGAACGGUGAAAGAGGAGCUUGCUCCUCUGGAUCAGUGGCGAACGGGUGAGUAACACGUGAGUAACCUGCCCCAGACUCUGGGAUAAGCACUGGAAACGGUGUCUAAUACCGGAUACGAGCUUCAGCCGCAUGGCUAGGAGCUGGAAAGAAUUUCGGUCUGGGAUGGACUCGCGGCCUAUCAGCUAGUUGGUGAGGUAAUGGCUCACCAAGGCGACGACGGGUAGCCGGCCUGAGAGGGUGACCGGCCACACUGGGACUGAGACACGGCCCAGACUCCUACGGGAGGCAGCAGUGGGGAAUAUUGCACAAUGGGCGCAAGCCUGAUGCAGCAACGCCGCGUGAGGGACGACGGCCUUCGGUUGUAACCUCUUUAGUAGGAAGAAGCGAAGUGACGGUACCUGACAGAAAAGCACCGGCUAACUACGCGCUAGCAGCCGCGGUAA
rnacentral:rRNA from 1 species